UCCUACGGGGGGCAGCAGUGGGGAAUAUUGCACAAUGGGGGAAACCCUGAUGCAGCGACGCCGCGUGAGUGAAGAAGUAUUUCGGUAUGUAAAGCUCUAUCAGCAGGGAAGAAGUUGACGGUACCUGACUAAGAAGCCCCGGCUAACUACGUGCCAGCAGCCGCGGUAAUACGUAGGGGGCAAGCGUUAUCCGGAUUUACUGGGUGUAAAGGGAGCGUAGACGGCAGCGCAAGUCUGGAGUGAAAUGCCGGGGCCCAACCCCGGAACUGCUCUGGAAACUGUGAAGCUGGAGUGCAGGAGAGGUA
rnacentral:rRNA from 1 species